AACUCAAAUUUAAAUUUUAAUAUAAAAUAUAUAGAUAGGAAUGCUAUUUUUUAACAAAUUGAUCAUAAUCGUUCGUUUUUAUUUAAAAUAUCUUUUAGCAAAUUAAUCAUAACCUUCUUUUAUUUUUUUUUUAUUUUCGUCUGUCAUGAUAAGAAUUUCUAUAUGCUUUUGUAUAUAGUAUAGAUAAAUAUGAAGUGUAAAGAGCAUUAUUGUUAUAUAAGUUAUUAGAUAAGAUGGAAUAUGGAUACUAUGUAGGCGGCGAUUAUUAGGAGAUAGGGUAUGUGUAUAAAAGGUGAGAUUUGAUACGCACUGGAUGAAGGCAAUUUAAGUAAAAAAAGUGAUAGAUACUUAAUUUGUUGGCCAUUGGAUUAGAUCCAAUGACUAAGAAUUAAUACAUUUUAUUAUAAUUUGAAAAUAAAAUAAAAAUUGUACAACUGUGAUUUGUACCAUAAAAGUUGAAUAAAUGAUAUUGUUAGUAUGUGAUUGGAAUUAUAUUAAUAGGGAGUGAUAUUUUGGAAAAAAAAAAAUUUAAAAUUAACUUUUUUAUGAGUAGUAUAGAUAUUUAUCCAUAUAAGGAAUGAAUGAUAGGUAUAGCAUUAUUAAGGAUCAAUAGAUAUAUUAAAAAGUUGAGUUUUACUAUGGCCAUUUGUCGGCUUCUCAGCGCCCCCCUCCUUCGACCCUUUCGCUAGCGCGCAAGGAGCGCGGGUUGCUCGCACGCGGCAGCACGGGCGAGCGCGGGCGCGCGAGGUGCGCGAGCGGCCGCUAGGUCGCGCGCACGUGGCAGCACGGGCGGGCUCGGGCGCGAGCGGGCGCUGGCCGCGGGUCGUGUGUAGUGGCAGCACGGCUGGUGCGGGCGCGCGAGGGGCACGAGCGGGCACCGCGCGUGGGCCGCGUGCACAUGGCAGAGUGGGCGGGCGCAGUGCGGGCGGGCGGCUCGACCGGGCGCCCCUCUCUUUCUCUCUCUCCCCCCACGGGCGGGCACCGGCGCGGGCGCACGAGGCCGGCGCGGCGCGGGUGGGCAGCUUAAGCGCUCCCCUCUCUCUCUUUCUCUCUCUCUCUCACUCUCUCCCUCUCCUUCUCCCUGUCCCNAAAUUUAAAAUUUAAUUUUGAUUUACCAUAAUUAAAUAUUUUAACUGUUAAUUCAAAUUUGAUAUCCAAAAUUUAUAAAUUUAAAUUUGUUAAAAUUUAAUUUUGAUCCAUUGUAAUUAAUAUUUUUUAAUUGUUAAUUCAAUUUGAUAUCCAAAAUUAAAUUCAAUUCAUGAUUUAAACUCAAAUUUAAAUUUUAAUAUAAAAUAUAUAGAUAGGAAUGCUAUUUUUUAACAAAUUGAUCAUAAUCGUUCGUUUUUAUUUAAAAUAUCUUUUAGCAAAUUAAUCAUAACCUUCUUUUAUUCUUUUUUUAUUUUCGUCUGUCAUGAUAAGAAUUUCUAUAUGCUUUUGUAUAUAGUAUAGAUAAGUGUGGAGUGUAAAGAGCAUUAUUGUUAUAUAAGUUAUUAGAUAAGAUGGAAUAUGGAUACUAUGUAGGCGGCGAUUAUUAGGAGAUAGGGUAUGUGUAUAAAAGGUGAGAUUUGAUACGCACUGGAUGAAGGCAAUUUAAGUAAAAAAAGUGAUAGAUACUUAAUUUGUCGGCCAUUGGAUUAGAUCCAAUGACUAAGAAUUAAUACAUUUUAUCAUAAUUUGAAAAUAAAAUAAAAAUUGUACAACUGUGAUUUGUACCAUAAAAGUUGAAUAAAUGAUAUUGUUAGUAUGUGAUUGGAAUUAUAAUAAUAGGGAGUGACAUUUUGGAAAAGAAAAAAAAUUUAAAACUAACUCUUUUAUGAGUAGUAUAUAUAUUUAUCCAUAUAAGGAAUGAAUGAUAAUUAUAGCAUUAUUAAGGAUCUAUAGAUAUAUUAAAAGUUGAGUUUUACUAUGGCCAUGUGUCGG
rnacentral:lncRNA from 1 species